rnacentral:lncRNA from 1 species
UCCUACAAGGCACAUAUGAGAAAAAAAAAAUAGACAUAAUACCAUGAAAGAUGUUCGAGUUUUGAAGCUUCGUAUUAGAGACACGCACAAAAGUCCAACACCAAUAUUUACUCGUAUCCCAUGUUCGAUCAUUUUUUGCCACGAAGCAGAAAAGCCCCAAUCCCAAGUCUCUCUGCUGCUCCGAUUCGCAUUCGCUUUCUCUCUCUUGCGAAACAAAUCCGGUGUACAUAAUAAACUCAAGGUGAGAGCCAAGAUCUCAACAUGUAUAGGAGCAAGCAGACAAUCAAAGCUUUAACGCCAAUUAGAGAAUGACCGAGAUUGGACUAGCCUCAUGCAUGACGGUUCUCGACCACCAAGUAACGAAUCAGUAAUCAUCUCUUAUGGUCGACGAGUCAAAGAAAAACAUGCAAAUCACACUACAAUACUCUCAUUUUGACUGAUAACAGAAGCAAAUCGAUACUGGAAGUCACUUGGGCAAAACAUCGAACACCUGAUGGACAUGAAAUUCCAAGUGCUCGGGACAGAAUACUCAACAAAUUAUCGAUGACGAGUAUAGAGUGAGGUGUUCAUUUUAAACAUUACAAGACGCAAAAUCGACGAAUCGGAGGACAGGCGUGCACUGAGACGUGCUCGGCUAAAACCAAAAUAGAGCAUAGGAGAGGGAUGCGUGGCCAGAGCCGUCACUGGUCGAGAUUGAUGAUCGCCCGAAGGAGAGAGAUCGUAAUGGACAGUAAAGACGGGAACUAGAACCGUCAAAGGGAGGAAGAAACAAAGACUGUGUACUUCAGCAGCGAUGGCUCUGAAAUAGGGGCGAACGGAGCCUCUUCACGGCCGCGGAACUGGUGGCGAUCGUGCGACUACCGGUGGUUGAAAUUGACGCGACUGAGAGGGGAUUUUUUCGUGUUGCUUGGAUGGAUGUACUAGAAGAAGUGAAGCUCAUCGCACAUAUGAAUUGGUACGUGGAAGAGAGACUUUUAGUACUAGUUUAUAUUAUACAUCAAAU